rnacentral:rRNA from 1 species
GACGAACGCUGGCGGCGUGCUUAACACAUGCAAGUCGAACGGAAAGGCCCUGCUUUUGUGGGGUGCUCGAGUGGCGAACGGGUGAGUAACACGUGAGUAACCUGCCCUUGACUUUGGGAUAACUUCAGGAAACUGGGGCUAAUACCGGAUAGGAGCUCCUGCUGCAUGGUGGGGGUUGGAAAGUUUCGGCGGUUGGGGAUGGACUCGCGGCUUAUCAGCUUGUUGGUGGGGUAGUGGCUUACCAAGGCUUUGACGGGUAGCCGGCCUGAGAGGGUGACCGGCCACAUUGGGACUGAGAUACGGCCCAGACUCCUACGGGAGGCAGCAGUGGGGAAUAUUACACAAUGGGCGGAAGCCUGAUGCAGCAACGCCGUGUGCGGGAUGACGGCCUUCGGGUUGUAAACCGCUUUCGCCUGUGACGAAGCGUGAGUGACGGUAAUGGGUAAAGAAGCACCGGCUAACUACGUG